AGAAUUGAUGCCUUCAAACUGUGGUGCUGGAGAAGACUCUUGAGAGUCCCUAGGACUGCAAGGAGAUCAAACCAGUCAAUCCUCAAGGAAAUUAACACUGGAUAUUCAUUAGAAGGACUGAUGCUAAAGCUAAAGCUCCAAUACUUUGGCCACCAGAUGUGAAGAGCUGACUCAUUUGAACAGACCCUGAUGCUGAGAAAGAUUGAGGGCAAGAAAAGAAUGGGAUGACAGAGAACGAGAUGGUUGGAUGGCAUCACCAACUCAAUGGACGUGAGUUUGCAUAAACUCAGGGAAAUAGGGAAGGACAGCUUCUUCAGCAGAGUAAACUAUUUACAGAGCACCUUACCAGAUGCCAAGCACCCUGCAAGUAUCUGGUGACACAGCAGUGGAAAAAAACAAGCAGCAAUUCCUGCCUUCAAGGAACUUAUACUCUAGUGGACAAACAAUACAUUCUGGGACGUGAUGAAAAGUUCACCUUCUCUGGAUAGGAUGAGAUGGAAGAACAGGCAGCAUACAAGGAUGGCUGAGAGCGUGGUUUCUGUUCAUUCCCAGAUCGCACCAGAAUGAGACAUGUUCAGGGGGUAACUGCUUGUAACUGGCUGAAUUCUGUGGCCUGGAAUUGGAUUGACAAACGUCAGUUGGCAACUCAGGGAGAAGAUUGGAGAUAAACUGGCAAAGGCAAAGGACUGGGGGGAAGUGGGGAGGGUGGUUGCAAGAACAUUCUUCCGCUGACUGCAGCUCAGAGAGCUCACUUGUGGAUUUUAUGAUCUUUUCCUAG
ensembl:lncRNA